rnacentral:rRNA from 1 species
CAGCGUAGGGGGCGAGCGUUGUCCGGAUUUGAUUGGCGUAAAGAGCUCGUAGGCGGUUUCGUAAGUCGGAUGUGAAAACUCCAGCUCAACUUGGAGACGCCAUUCGAUACUGCGAUGACUUGAGUCCGGUAGGGGGAGUGUGGAAUUCCUGGUGUAGCGGUGAAAUGCGCAGAUAUCAGGAGGAACACCGGCGGCGAAGGCGGCACUCUGGGCCGGUACUGACGCUGAGGAGCGAAAGCGUGGGGGAGCAAACAGG